AUUGAACGCUGGCGGCAGGCUUAACACAUGCAAGUCGAACGAGUGGCGGACGGGUGAGUAAGGCAUGGGCAUCUAGCUUAUGGAGGGGGAUAACUACGGGAAACUGUAGCUAAUACCGUGUACCACAGGAUGGGCCCAAGUGGGAUUAGGUAGUUGGUGUGGUAAAGGCUCACCAAGCCGACGAUCUCUAGCUGGUCUGAGAGGAUGAUCGGCCACACUGGGACUGAGACACGGCCCAGACUCCUACGGGAGGCAGCAGUGGGGAAUAUUGCACAAUGGGCGAAAGUCUGAUGCAGCCAUGCCGCGUGUAUGAAGAAGGCCCUAGGGUUGUAAAGUACUUUCAGUCGGGAGGCGGUACCGACAGAAGAAGCACCAGCUAACUCCGUGCCAGCAGCCGCGGUAAUUC
rnacentral:rRNA from 1 species